GGCCAAAGUGUAUAUAGCUUCCCGCAGGGUCACAGAAUUGGUGAGCGUUGACGACCCCCGCCUCCAAGUGCUUCUGAAAGUGCUGAAGAUCGCUUGGGGAGCGCGAACCCGCCAACCGUGGGAGGAUGAAGCGGUUUUCCGUUGUGUUCCUCCUGUUCGUGAUGCUUCUGACUGAGAACUUCACAGUGGCUUCAAUCUAUACUUUCUAUGAUGGUGAGAGCACCUCAGGAAUAACACCCGACUGCAAACAGUAUUCCCUUCCAGGAUGUCCAAGAAACUUAAACCCUGUAUGUGGAACAGAUUCCAUAACCUAUGGCAAUGAAUGCCUACUUUGUCAGAAAAUUAGGGAAGAGAACCAGAACAUUCAAAUCAAGUGGAGAGGAGUGUGCUGAUGGUUCAGCAGAUGCAAAGAAAAUACGGCUGAGAGAAAACACUUUAAAAUGGGAGAAUCACCUGAAACUUUAGCUUUUACUUUUCAAGUUUCAUAAAUUUUCUUGACUCUCUUCCCUACUGUUUCCCGGAAGAUUUAUUACUAAGAUCUAUUUGAGGAGGGGAUGUGGGCAAUUAGGCUUUUCAUAUCCCUGUGGUUUGUUUGUUUCGCUGGGUCUCUCUACUGCGGCUGUAGUUAAGAUCUUAUCUGCCCGAUAGUUUCUGCGCUGUCUCUAAGCCUGAAUAAAACCAGCAUUCCGCUGCA
rnacentral:lncRNA from 1 species